rnacentral:rRNA from 1 species
AAAGCGUGCGCAGGCGGUUUUGUAAGUCUGAUGUGAAAUCCCCGGGCUCAACCUGGGAAUUGCAUUGGAGACUGCAAGGCUAGAAUCUGGCAGAGGGGGGUAGAAUUCCACGUGUAGCAGUGAAAUGCGUAGAUAUGCGGAGGAACACCGAUGGCGAAGGCAAUCCCCUGGGCCUGUACUGACGCUCAUGCACGAAAGCGUGGGGAGCAAACAGGAUUAGAUACCCUGGU